GAAAUGCGAUACUUGGUGUGAAUUGCAAAAUCCCGCGAACCAUCAAGUCUUUGAACGCAAGUUGCGCCUGAAGCCAUUAGGUUGAGGGCACAUCUGCCUGGGCAUCUCACGUUUCAUCGCCCGUGCCCCCUUGAAGGAAGGGUUGCGGGCGGAUGUUGGCCUCCCGCGCGCACCCGAAAGCGAGUCCCCCGCGACGGACGAUGCGUCGCGGCGAGUGAUGGUUGACAAACUGUUGUGUUGCCUCGCGCGCGUCUGGGUCAUCUCGGGAGGCCUGUCGUGACGCUAUCGCGGCGCCGCCAUGGCGCUCCUAUCGCGACCCCUGGUCAGGCGAGAUUACCCGCUGAGUUUAA
rnacentral:misc_RNA from 1 species